GACGAACGCUGGCGGCGUGCCUAAUACAUGCAAGUCGAGCGAAUCAAUAGGAGCUUGCUCCUGUUGGUUAGCGGCGGACGGGUGAGUAACACGUGGGCAACCUGCCUGUAAGACUGGGAUAACACCGGGAAACCGGUGCUAAUACCGGAUAAUCCUUUUUCUCCCAUGAGGAAAAGCUGAAAGUCGGUUUCGGCUGACACUUACAGAUGGGCCCGCGGCGCUUUAGCUAGUUGGUGAGGUAACGGCUCACCAAGGCGACGAUGCGUAGCCGACCUGAGAGGGUGAUCGGCCACACUGGGACUGAGACACGGCCCAGACUCCUACGGGAGGCAGCAGUAGGGAAUCUUCCACAAUGGACGAAAGUCUGAUGGAGCAACGCCGCGUGAGCGAUGAAGGCCUUCGGGUCGUAAAGCUCUGUUGUUAGGGAAGAACAAGUACCGGAGUAACUGCCGGUACCUUGACGGUACCUAACCAGAAAGCCACGGCUAACUACGUGCCAGCCGCCGCAGUAAAAC
rnacentral:rRNA from 1 species